CGCGUUACAUAAAGCUCUCGAGCUACAAACUGCGGUGGGUCUCGGUAUACAGGAUGCUGUGGCUUUCUCAGACAUAGUCAAAUUUGAAAACUUUCUGAACAUCAAGAUUGUGGUUUUGUACCACAGUAGGGCUAAUGACGCUCUCCUCAAGUUCCAAAAUAUACCCGAACCACAUCCUAAGACUAUGUACUUUUAUGUGCAAAAUGAGCAUUACUAUGCCGUAACUAACAUCACAGCCUUUUUAGGCGCGCCAUAUGUCUGUCCAGCCUGUCAUACCGGCUACACACGCAUGGGGGGGCACUCGUGCCGUUACAACUGUUCAGUAUGUCUGGAUAAACAUUGCCCUAUGCAGCCGCUAAACUUGACCCCCUGUGCGGAUUGUCACCGCACAUGUCGUUCGGCCUACUGUUACGAAAAACACAAAACUGAAACAUGGCAUCCCAAGGCAUGUAAAUCUGUAAGCAGUUGUGACAUUAACAAGAAAUGUCCAAAAUGUCAUUGCAAUUACAACCUUAAAAUAGAUAGCCCUAAACCUCAUGUUUGUGGAAUUAUACACUGCCCAAUCUGUAAAGGUCCUUUGAAAAGCAGAGACGCGGAAGCAGUUCAAGAAGUAACACAUGAGUGUUACAUUCAGCCCUUGGCUGAAGAUGAACAUACAGAGAAAUAUGUGUUUUAUGAUUUUGAGACAACUCAGCAAUCAGGGGUUCAUUUGCCUAUUUUUGUGUCAACCAUGACUUUCAAGGGUGAAAAAUGGUCGGCCGAGGGACCCGAUUGUGCCCAACUCUUUCUAAAACAUUUUAGAAAAGCCCAGUACAGAAACUUCACGUUUAUAGCUCACAAUGCUAGGGCCUAUGACUCCUAUCUGCUUCUGAACCCUUUGAUACAGCAAGGCGUGGCACCCAGUGUCAUAGCUCAAGGGAGUAAAAUAUUAUGCUUUGUUGACCCCGCCUUCAAACAGAGAUACAUUGACAGCUUAAGCUUCUUACCCAUGAGAUUGGCUCAAAUGCCAGAGGCCUUGGGUUUUGAAAACUCUGUCAAAGGCUAUUUCCCUCAUUUCUUCACAUCUGAGGAGAAUCUACAUUAUAUAGGAUCUUAUCCAGCCCCCGAAAUGUACGGGUGUGAUCAAAUGUCUCCCAAAGAGCGUGAGAGAUUCAUGACAUGGUACGAGACCGUAAGACAUGGCACUUUUGAUUUCCAUAAAGAGAUGGAAUCAUACUGUGACAAUGACGUUGUUAUACUUCGUGAAGGAUGCCUCAGAUUCAGAGAAGAGGUAAUCAAAGAUGCGGGCAUUGACCCCUGGAGCUGUACAACUAUUGCAUCAGCGUGCAUGAAAACCUAUCGUACACACUAUCUAACUCCUGAAUCUAUAGCUAUCCCAUCGCCAGACAACUACCGACGCCAAUUCAAGGCCUACUCUAGUGGUUCCAUUCAAUGGUUGGAGUACUUGGCCCAGGAUAAAGAUAUUUUUAUCCAACAUGCUUUGAAUCGGGGGGAGAAGGCUUUUGGGCCUUACCAUGUAGAUGGAUACACACAGAUUGACGGGGUUGAGACAGUG
rnacentral:lncRNA from 1 species